CGCAGCCGCGGUAAUUCCAGCUCCAAUAGCGUAUAUUAAAGUUGCUGCAGUUAAAAAGCUCGUAGUUGAAUUUCGGGACCAUCAUGUCGGUCGUGCCUCGGUACGUACUGGCAUUGUUGGUUUCUCCCUUCUGACGAACCAUGAUGUCAUUUAUUUGGUGUUGUGGGAAAUCAGGACUGUUACUUUGAAAAAAUUAGAGUGUUUAAAGCAGGCUCACGCUUGAAUACAUUAGCAUGGAAUAAUGAAAUAGGACGUUUGAUUCUAUUUUGUUGGUUUCUAGGAUCGACGUAAUGAUUAAUAGGGAUAGUUGGGGGCAUUAGUAUUCAAUUGUCAGAGGUGAAAUUCUUGGAUUUAUUGAAGACUAACUACUGCGAAAGCAUUUGCCAAGGAUGUUUUCAUUAAUCAAGAACGAAAGUUAGGGGAUCGAAGACGAUCAGAUACCGUCGUAGUCUUAACCAUAAACUAUGCCGACUAGGGAUCGGAUGAUGUUAAUUUUUAAUGACUCAUUCGGCGCCUUAAC
rnacentral:rRNA from 1 species